rnacentral:rRNA from 1 species
AGCGAACGCUGGCGGCAGGCUUAACACAUGCAAGUCGAGCGGCCGUAGCAAUACGGCAGCGGCAGACGGGAGAGUAACACGCGGGAACGUACCCUUCAGUACGGAACAACCAAGGGAAACUUUUGCUAAUACCGGAUACGUCCGUAAGGAGAAAGAUUUAUUGCUGAAGGAUAGGCCCGGGGCUGAUUAGCUAGUUGGUAAGGUAACGGAUCACCAAGGCGACGAUCAGUAGCUGGUCUGAGAGGAUGAUCCGCCUCACUGGGACGGAGACACGGCCCAGACUCCUACGGGAGGCAGCAGUGGGAAAUAUUGGACAAUGGGCGCAAGCCUGAUCCAGCCAUGCCGCGUGGGUGAUGAAGGCGCUAGGGUUGUAAAGCCCUUUCGGCGGGGAAGAUAAUGACGGUACCCGCAGAAGAAGCCCCGGCUAACUUCGUGCCAGCCGCCGCCGUAAGAC